AUACCUCCCGACAUGAUGACUUCACUCAC
rnacentral:piRNA from 1 species